GGGCGAUUAGUAUAGCGGGAGUACGCUAGCAUGGCAUGCUAGUAGCACGAGUUCGAUUCUCGUAUCGUCCA
rnacentral:tRNA from 2 species